AAUCCAUAGGUUAAUGAGGCGAACCGGGGGAACUGAAACAUCUAAGUACCCCGAGGAAAAGAAAUCAACCGAGAUUCCCCCAGUAGCGGCGAGCGAACGGGGAGGAGCCCAGAGCCUGAAUCAGCAUGUGUGUUAGUGGAAGCGUCUGGAAAGGCGCGCGAUACAGGGUGACAGCCCCGUACACAAAAGCGCAUGUGUUGUGAGCUCGAUGAGUAGGGCGGGACACGUGGUAUCCUGUCUGAAUAUGGGGGGACCAUCCUCCAAGGCUAAAUACUCCUGACUGACCGAUAGUGAACCAGUACCGUGAGGGAAAGGCGAAAAGAACCCCGGCGAGGGGAGUGAAAAAGAACCUGAAACCGUGUACGUACAAGCAGUGGGAGCACCCUUUGGGGUGUGACUGCGUACCUUUUGUAUAAUGGGUCAGCGACUUAUAUUCUGUAGCAAG
rnacentral:rRNA from 1 species